AAAAGAAGCAAGGAUAGAAGGAAAGAAAGGGAGAAUCUAAAGCAUGCUAAGCAAGAAGUUGUUCCCAGAUGUCUCUACUGUGAAGAGUGAACAUUGUGCCAGGGAGAUUCUUCCUGUUUUAGAAGGAAUAGAGGCAACAGCUUUGAAAGCAGAAGACAGAACCACUUUGUGAAAUGGCUGUGAUGGACUGACGUCUGAAAGUUAUAGGGAAGCUUCACCUCUUGUAUCACAUUCACACAACAGGAUGAAGAAAACCAGCUAAUUUUGAAGAACCUUGGCAAAAUAAAUGAACUAAAAAAGAAGUGGAACUCUGUUCAUCCCUCAUGUACUGAUUGCUCCCUCACCUGACCCUUCUAAAUAUUACACUGAAGAUAUUCUGACUGCAGUCAGUGGAGCGAGAGAUGGACUGCGCCUGAAUAUUUCUAACCAGAGUUCAGUGUGAUCUCAAAUCAAAUUCAUAUGGCUGCUGGAAUAACCAUGAGAAGAAAACAGCAUUUGGAGGAAGGACCAGGCACCAUACAUGUGACUUAUCUGACAUAGAAUGACAUAGAUGUCUCAAAUGGGGUCCCAAAGGCCACCUGAGAUUGUACCUUGAAUGCUGCUGUCA